rnacentral:lncRNA from 1 species
UUUCUACAUCACAAAGUCAAGUUAAAGUUGUUCUGUUCACCUGGGGAAAAUUUAAUUAAAAUGCUAGCCAUCACAUGAAAGCUGCAGGAUGGUGAACAAUUGUGGAAGUCUGCCUUCUCAUCAGCACUAUUAAUGAGAUAUUUUGCAAUUGGUUCUCAGCUCCGAGUGACCUAAGAAUCUCUCUUCUAACUAACUGGGACCUUUUCAC